rnacentral:rRNA from 1 species
UACGAAGGGUGCAAGCGUUACUCGGAAUUACUGGGCGUAAAGCGUGCGUAGGUGGUCUGUUAAGUCUGAUGUGAAAGCCCUGGGCUCAACCUGGGAAUUGCAUUGGAUACUGGCAGGCUAGAGUGCGGUAGAGGAUGGCGGAAUUCCCGGUGUAGCAGUGAAAUGCGUAGAGAUCGGGAGGAGCAUCUGUGGCGAAGGCGGCCAUCUGGACCAGCACUGACACUGAGGCACGAAAGCGUGGGGAGCAAACAGG